rnacentral:rRNA from 1 species
CCUACGGGAGGCAGCAGUGAGGAAUAUUGGUCAAUGGGCGCGAGCCUGAACCAGCCAAGUCGCGUGAGGGAAGACGGUCCUAUGGAUUGUAAACCUCUUUUGUCGGGGAGCAAACGACGCCACGCGUGGCGUUCCGAGAGUACCCGACGAACAAGCAUCGGCUAACUCCGUGCCAGCAGCCGCGGUAAUACGGAGGAUGCGAGCGUUAUCCGGAUUUAUUGGGUUUAAAGGGUGCGCAGGCGGAAGAUCAAGUCAGCGGUAAAAUUGAGAGGCUCAACCUCUUCGAGCCGUUGAAACUGGUUGUCUUGAGUGAGCGAGAGGUAUGCGGAAUGCGUGGUGUAGCGGUGAAAUGCAUAGAUAUCACGAAGAACUCCGAUUGCGAAGGCAGCAUACCGGCGCUCAACUGACGCUCAUGCACGAAAGUGUGGGUAUCGAACAGGAUUAGAUACCCUGGUAGUC